rnacentral:rRNA from 1 species
UUGGAGGGCAAGUCUGGUGCCAGCAGCCGCGGUAAUUCCAGCUCCAAUAGCGUAUAUUAAAGUUGUUGCAGUUAAAAAGCUCGUAGUUGAAUUUCGGGGUCAGCAGGUCGGUCGUGCCAAUGGUAUGCACUGGCUCGCUGACUCCUCCUUCUUGUAGAACCGUAAUGCCAUUAAUUUGGUGUUGCGGGGAAACAGGACUGUUACUUUGAAAAAAUUAGAGCGUUUAAAGCAGGCUAGCGCCUGAAUACAUUAGCAUGGAAUAACGAAAUAGGACGUUCGAACCUAUUUUGUUGGUUUCUAGGAUUGACGUAAUGAUUAAUAGGGAUAGUUGGGGGCAUUAGUAUUCAAUUGUCAGAGGUGAAAUUCUUGGAUUUAUUGAAGACUGACUACUGCGAAAGCAUUUGCCAAGGAUGUUUUCAUUAAUCAAGAACGAAAGUUAGGGGAUCGAAGACGAUCAGAUACCGUCGUAGUCUUAACCAUAAACUAUGCCGACUAGGGAUCGGAUGAUGUUAAUUUUAAUGACUCAUUCGGCGCCUACGAAAC